rnacentral:snRNA from 1 species
AACUGGGGAUCUUGCUGCAACAUCUGUCACUCCAUUGAUUGCCAGGGUUGAUUUGGCUGAUCCGGCUGUCUGAGUGGGUGUUCCCCUCCCUAACCUCCCUCAGCAUGCCAUGCAUGUCCCUCCUGAAGCUGAGAGCUUGGUCCAAGAGGAUGACCUACCCCAAUAGAAGAGGACCAUUCCUCAGUCAAGGGUAUGUCAGGAGCUGCACUCCCCUUCUAGAACCUCCAAACAAGCUGUCAAACUGUGGGGAUCUUUCUCUGCUUUCUAGCCCAGAUACCAGGUCAUUAGGCCACUAGGGCCUGCU